rnacentral:rRNA from 1 species
UAGUCCACGCCGUAAACGAUGGUUACUAGCUGUUCGGACUUCGGUCUGAGUGGCUAAGCGAGAGUGAUAAGUAACCCACCUGGGGAGUACGUUCGCAAGAAUGAAACUCAAAGGAAUUGACGGGGGCCCGCACAAGCGGUGGAGCAUGUGGUUUAAUUCGAUGAUACGCGAGGAACCUUACCAGGGCUUAAAUGUAGAUUGACAGGUUUAGAGAUAGACUUUUCUUCGGACAGAUUACAAGGUGCUGCAUGGUUGUCGUCAGCUCGUGCCGUGAGGUGUCAGGUUAAGUCCUAUAACGAGCGCAACCCCUGUUGUUAGUUGCCAUCGAGUAAUGUCGGGAACUCUAACAAGACUGCCGGUGCAAACCGCGAGGAAGGUGGGGAUGACGUCAAAUCAUCACGGCCCUUACGUCCUGGGCUACACACGUGCUACAAUGGUAUGGACAAUGAGCAGCCACUUCGCGGGAAGGAGCGAAUCUAUAAACCAUAUCACAGUUCGGA